CGUCGUCAACUUCGUUCGAACUUCAGCGAGGCUGUGUCGAUGUUCGGUGAUGUCCUGUCGACGUCGCCCGUUCUUAGGAUCUAGAAGCAAAGUACCAAGUCACGACGCGGGAUGCACAGUGUCCUUAUAUAAACCGCACAUAACGAUACCUUAGAAUCAUAAUUAGCAGUAUUCACACGACAGACGCAAUCGCAAAGCAACGCACAAGGAUACUGUGUUAUUGAAUUUAGCGACGACGACGACAAAAACGAUCUCCAAGACUCAAGCACACAGGACCCCCGGUGUCAGGGCCAAUUACUAAAAAAGGACAUUACAUAUUUGGGGAAGUGGUACGGCUGCGACCCAGACAAACGUCAGAAUAAGUGUGCAGGAUCCACCACCGAGCAAAAGAUGUAUCUACAAAAGGUGGUGCCGAUGCCGAGG